CACUGCAGUCUGCCCCAGGGAGUGGGGCUAAGCGAUGAUGGACUGCCCCGGGGAGUGGGGCUAAGCCAAGACUGAGGCAAAGUGGGGAUAGUGCGUGGAGGGUUCCCCUGGGUGGGGAGAUCCCGAGACUGAAGGGUUGCUGCCAGAGGGGCAGCACCCCAGACAAAAGGGCACUAGGUCCAGGAGGGACACGGGGGCCAGUGACAAGCGGAUCACCAGAUGGCAGAGGGCGCUGCGGAGGCUGGUGAGCUAAUUCUCAAGGACGACCAGCAGGAAGCACCACUGGCCCCGUGGAUACUUCGCAGGCAGCAGAAAGAGGGGGUAACCUGGAUGAAGAAGUCAAGCUAGAAGAGGAUGUGUGCUCCCAGCAGGGUCACCCGGUGGGGCAGGCAUCUAGGAACUUUUCUCCACUCCAGAAGUGCUCAAUGGGGAGCAGGAAGCAGAUGAGAUGCUGGCACACACCUGGAGGAACACACCACGCAGACCGACUUCGCCAGAUAAGGAGAAACCCUAGGCGCAGCAAAGAAGACAUGUUCCGGGAGGUGCUGCAGCGUGAUGAGAGACAGACCAGGGAACGCAAAGAGUGCUGGGAAGUUGAAAGGCAGGAUAGAAAAGAGAAUGCUGCAUUUGCUAGGCAAGCGACAGAAUGGAUGAUAAAAGUUAUGGAGGAUCAGACAGAGAUGCUCAGGUCUGUGAUACAGCUGCAGACUGAGCAGAUCUGUGGUCGACCUCCACUGCAGAAGAUGCACAUGCACAAUUCUUUGCCAAUCCCACCCCCCUCUAUGCCCACACAUUCCUUUUCACUUCACAGCCCUCCUGAGUUUCCCCAUCACUCCAACCCCCUCUCCCAGCUUGCACAAUGAUAGCUGGAGCUGCACACACUUGUGAGGUUUUACUCUUUUUAACAAUAAAUA